rnacentral:rRNA from 1 species
GUCGAGCGCCCCGCAAGGGGAGCGGCAGACGGGUGAGUAACGCGUGGGAAUCUACCCAACUCUACGGAAUAACUCAGGGAAACUUGUGCUAAUACCGUAUACGCCCUUCGGGGGAAAGAUUUAUCGGAGUUGGAUGAGCCCGCGUUGGAUUAGCUAGUUGGUGGGGUAAAGGCCUACCAAGGCGACGAUCCAUAGCUGGUCUGAGAGGAUGAUCAGCCACAUUGGGACUGAGACACGGCCCAAACUCCUACGGGAGGCAGCAGUGGGGAAUAUUGGACAAUGGGCGCAAGCCUGAUCCAGCCAUGCCGCGUGUGUGAUGAAGGCCUUAGGGUUGUAAAGCACUUUCACCGGAGAAGAUAAUGACGGUAUCCGGAGAAGAAGCCCCGGCUAACUUCGUGCCAGCAGCCGCGGUAAUACGAAGGGGGCUAGCGUUGUUCGGAAUUACUGGGCGUAAAGCGCACGUAGGCGGAUCGAUCAGUCAGGGGUGAAAUCCCAGAGCUCAACUCUGGAACUGCCUUUGAUACUGUCGGUCUAGAGUAUGGAAGAGGUGAGUGGAAUUCCGAGUGUAGAGGUGAAAUUCGUAGAUAUUCGGAGGAACACCAGUGGCGAAGGCGGCUCACUGGUCCAUUACUGACGCUGAGGUGCGAAAGCGUGGGGAGCAAACAGGAUUAGAUACC